rnacentral:lncRNA from 1 species
AAACAAGAGAAGACACAGCAAGCUUCUAGAGAAAACGAAUUGGGAAAAGUUAUUGUGUCUUUCGUCAAAGCAUUUAUGAUGCACGUAUGCUUCCUCUUCUAAGGCCAACCUUUCCUUCACAUUGAGGCUGGCACACUCAAAGCUAUCUCAACAUUUUGAUUCAACAUUGGUUCCACAAAAUAAUAUAUGUACCUCUCAACUCAUGAAGGCAUACAACACCAUUCAAAACACAAGCUACUCUUAGCCUAUUGAAUAUUUGGGGUAAUUGAAGGUAAUUUCUUGGUAAUUAUCAUCAAAUAGUUUCAAAGUAUGAUCUGCAUCAUCAAGAAAUUGAGAAGAUAGUAGAAUACCAUUGGAAGGCAACCAUGGAUUAUUCUUGUAAAGCCAAUGGGUAAAAUAGGAGUCUUGUAGCAUCUUAUGCCACCAUUUGCAUAAGAUCAAAUUUGGAAGGGGAAGAUAUGAAAAAAUCUUGGAAAGCAUAUCCCUUGGUAGUUCAUCAUUUUUAGUUUGGUCAUCCAUUUCCAUUGUAGGAAGAAAAUCCAACUUCUUAUUCUUGUUUUGUGAAUUACGCUUCUUUUUUGAUUUCCUGUUCCAGUUGAAUUAUUAUUCGGUUGCUCGGCUUUCGUCUUAACUGGUACAGAACUUUAAUCACCUAACAAGCUUGCUUUGCAUCCCAACAGCUCCAUGUGCAGACAUCAACUACAGAGUGCUCGAUGGAUUCAAAGACCCAUUGCUAACAAGGAAAAAUCUCUAGUUCUACCAGAUUUUACUGGUUUGAAUUAUCUGUAAGCUUUGAUUAGGGAGACUCGAGUAGCGCAUCCAGUUCUCUGGCCCAUCUUCGCUUGAGGGGAGGCCAUCUUUUAAACUUUUCCUUGCUCUGUAGAAUGCCGUCAUCACCAAUUAACAUUUGUCCAACCUGCAAGAAAUCAAAAAUAAACAAUACAUAUAUAGGCUUCUCUCUGCUUUUGUUGUGUCAUAGUAAAUUAUGUUACAAGAUACAACGCAAAGUCUUCUUCAAAUAAGCUUAACAUUUCCAAUUAAACCCAAAGCUUUAUGUACUGAGAAUUAAAAAGAUGGACCAAUAAACUAUAAAGAAAGUUUCCUUUUAGUAAUGUUUACAUGAUAUAAACGCAAAUUGCUUAUCGUAUAAUUCGCAUAAUAGACUUGCCAUUGGCCUAGGGUGAGAACAAGAGGACGAAACAGCCGAGCUUAUUCCCUCUGCACUCCCAGAGAAAAGCAGAAUAUGUUAUGCUUUGAGUUAAAACAGAAGGAGAGUGCCCUGCUUCUGCCAGUAAAGGUUUCUUCCUCAGUCAAGGUAUAAAUAUUUUCUUCAGCAGAAGCAACUGUCUUUUUUUCUUUUUCUUUUUGGAGAAUGUAGAAUGAAAGAAUUAAGAGAAGUUCCGAACAUUGUGAUUCUUAAGUCACUAGAUUUUCUUUUCAUUGGUUAUAAUCAACACUCCUUAAUCAGUGAAGUUUUAAAUAUUCCGAUUGUUCCAUCACACAUUAGCUCAUAGAAUAAGAGAAGCAUGAAUACAUAAGACACCAGAAGAAGGCAAAAAUUGCAGCAAAAACACAUUUCUUCUUUUAAAUGGUUACUAUCAACAUUUCUGUUAUUAUGACUAAAAUUGGCUAUUUUCCGACUAAAGUUCCAGUUGCUUGCCUGGCUCAGUGAAGGCCGAUCAGCUGAGGAUUGUUGUAUGCAUAAAAGAGGCGACUAUGAGAAUCUGACUAAGCUGUUCAGAGUCUCAUAGGCAUCUUCGAGUGAUGGAUUGACUAUCUCAUUAUGUUUCUUGCUGAGAAGCAAAGGUUUAGCCUGCAAAGUUGUUUGGUUUCAGUUUAUCCUACAAAUCUGAUUGAUACUUGGAACAUUAAUAGGCAACCUGUAUUACUACAUCUGCAAUUGAGUAAUUGAAGGGGAGUUGAGAUGAUUACAUACCCACAUCAUAACACUAUUACGAGAUUCAUCCAAAGCUGGACGCCCAGAAAUGAGCUCCAACGGCAACACACCAAAAGCAUAUACAUCAGUUUUUCCAUCCACAAUGCCAUGCAUAAAGAACAGAGGUAUCUGCCAUUAACAUGUAAGAUGAAAGUUACAACACGGGAUCCUUAUCGCAUAUUUACAAUAGGUAAACCUUAGGUUAUCACAUUCGCAAUGUUUGGAUGUUUGACAUGUACUAAAUUGUCAUUCUGAUGUCAUUUCCUCUUGAGAUCCUCUGGUCAACCUUUUC